ACUUUCUUGGAGGCUGAACGCAUGCGUCGCAGAACCGAAAAGUUUCCCUGAGCAAUUUCCUUGCUUUCUAUUUCCCAGGCUAAACCUAUUAGCUAGAUUUCUGCCAAGGUUUUUUUUUUAGCUUUUUUUUUGAGACGGAGUCUCGCUCUGUCGCCCAGGUUGGAGUGCAGUGACGCGAUCUCGGCUCACUGCGAGCUCCGCCUCCCGGGUUCACGCCAUUCUCCUGCCUCAGCCUCCCGAGUAGCUGGGACUACAGGCGCCCGCCACCACGCCCGGCUGAUUUUUUGUAUUUUUAGUAGAGCCGGGGUUUCACCGUGUUAGCCAGGAUGGUCUCGAUCUCCUGGCCUCGUGAUCCGCCCGCCUCAGCCUUCCAAAGUGCUGGGAUUACAGGCGUGAGCCACCGCGCCCGGCCGAUUUCUGCCAAGUUAAUGUCUUUAACUUCCUGAAGCGGAAAUUGGGCUACUUGCUGUUUUCCUCAUAUGGAGAAUAAGUGCGCAAAAGUAAACUUAGGCUAGAAUGAAGAGCGAGGCUUCUGCGUUUGUGUUCAAACACAGCCUUUCUGGUAGAAAGUAAACCCUUUCUCCCUAAUUUAACAGUGGUGUCAGGCCGGGCGCCGUGGCUCACGCCUGUAAUCCCAGCACUUUGGGCUCAAUAAAUGACAAGUGAGACCUACCAGUAUUGUUUUCUCCAUUCUAUCAAUAGGUCUAUAUAUUAACUUCU
rnacentral:lncRNA from 1 species